rnacentral:rRNA from 1 species
AUUUAAGCAUAUUAAUUAGGGAAGGAAAAGAAACUAACAAGGAUUUUCUGAGUAGCGGCGAGCGAAAAGAAAUCAGUUCAGCACUAAGUCAUUUUGUCUUUAUGGCAAAUAUGAGAUGCAGUGUAUGGUAUAUCUAUAAUCUUAUAUGAGAAAUUAAUGAUUUAAGUCCUUCUUAAAUGAGGCCAUUUACCCAUAGAGGGUGCCAGGCCCGUAUAACAUUAAUGAUUAUAAGAAGAUAUUACCAAAGAGUCGUGUUGCUUGAUAGUGCAGCACUAAGUGGGUGGUAAACUCCAUCUAAAACUAAAUAUAACCAUGAGACCGAUAGUAAACAAGUACCGUGAGGGAAAGUUGAAAAGAACUCUGAAUAGAGAGUUAAAUAGUACGUGAAACUGCUUAGAGGUAAAGCCUGAUGAACCUGAAUAUCCAUUAUUGGAAAAUUCAUCGCCAAUGUUAUAAUAUAUUUUUAUAUUAUAAAAAUGGUGUGCAUUUUUUCCAUAAAGGACAUUGUAAUCGGUUAAUAAAUUAAAAGUUUAUCAAAAGAUUCAUUAUAAGAGUUUAUUCUAAUUAAAUUUUUCUGAAAUUUAAAAUUGAAUAAAUUUAAUGAAUUUGAUAGAUUGUUGACCGAUUUAAUUAUAAUAAUGUUAAAAUUUCUCUUUAGAAAUUUUACAAUAAUUAUUUAUGUAUUCUUUGGAAUACAUAUUUUUUUAUUGUAUACAUUUUUAUGAUUUACAAUGCUAUAAAUUCAGGAUACCUUCAGGACCCGUCUUGAAACACGGACCAAGGAGUCUAACAUAUGUGCAAGUCGUUGAGUAACUUAAAUGAAACUCAAAGGCGUAAUUAACUUAACUGUUUUUAAAUGGGAUUAGUUUAUAUAUUUUUUCUUAAUAAGAAAAUGUUGUAAAUUCAAUCCCAGGGCGUUCUAUAUAGUUAUGCAUAAUGAUAUUUAUAUUAUUUAUGUCUCUAACUGGAGCGUACCUUGAGCAUAUAUGUUGCGACCCGAAAGAUGGUGAACUAUACUUGAUCAGGUUGAAGUCAGGGGAAACCCUGAUGGAAGACCGAAACAGUUCUGACGUGCAAAUCGAUUGUCAGAAUUGAGUAUAGGGGCGAAAGACCAAUCGAACCAUCUAGUAGCUGGUUCCCUCCGAAGUUUCCCUCAGGAUAGCUGGUGCAUAGAAAUAUUAUAUAAAAUAAUCUUAUCUGGUAAAGCGAAUGAUUAGAGGCAUUAGGGUCGAAACGACCUUAACCUAUUCUCAAACUUUAAAUGGGUAAGAAACUAAUCUUUCUUGAUAUGAAGAUUUAGUUUAUGAUAUAUUGUGCCCAGUGGGCCACUUUUGGUAAGCAGAACUGGCGCUGUGGGAUGAACCAAACGUAAUGUUAUGGUGCCCAAAUUAACAACUCAUGCAGAUACCAUGAAAGGCGUUGGUUGCUUAAAACAGCAGGACGGUGGACAUGGAAGUCGUAAUCCGCUAAGGAGUGUGUAACAACUCACCUGCCGAAGCAACUAGCCCUUAAAAUGGAUGGCGCUUAAGUUGUAUACCUAUACAUUACCGCUAAAGUAAAUGAUUUAUAUUAAAUAUAUAAUUUCGGUUAUAUUUUUUAGUAUAAGUUUUGAAACUUUAGUGAGUAGGAGGGUACAAUGGUGUGCUUAGAAGUGUUUGGCGUAAGCCUGCAUGGAGCCACUAUUGGUACAGAUCUUGGUGGUAGUAGCAAAUAAUCGAAUGAGACCUUGGAGGACUGAAGUGGAGAAGGGUUUCGUGUGAACAGUGGUUGAUCACGAGUUAGUCGGUCCUAAGUUCAAGGCGAAAGCCGAAAAUUUACAAGUUUUUUAUAUAAAAAUAUUAUUUAUUUAAUAUUAAAAAUAAUAUACUUGUUAAUUUUUGAACGAAAGGGAAUACGGUUCCAAUUCCGUAACCUGUUAAGUAUACGUUUGUUAAUAAAAAUGGGCAUUUUGCUCAUCCUGGCAACAGGAACGACCAUAAAGAAGCCGUCGAGAGGUAUCGGAAGAGUUUUCUUUUCUGUUUUAUAAUCGUACUACCAUGGAAGUCUUUCGAAGAGAGAUAUGGUAGAUGGAUUAGAAGAGCAUGACAUUUACUGUUGUGUCGAUAUUUUCUCUUCGGACCUUGAAAAUUUAUGGUGGGGUUACGCAAACUUCUUAACAGGCCGUACCAAUAUCCGCAGCUGGUCUCCAAGGUGAAGAGUCUCUAGUCGAUAGAAUAAUGUAGGUAAGGGAAGUCGGCAAAUUAGAUCCGUAACUUCGGGAUAAGGAUUGGCUCUGAAGAUUGAGAUAGUCGGGCUUGAUUUGGAAGCAAUAACAUGGUUUAUGUACUCGUUCUGGGUAAAUAGAAAUUAUUAAAUUUUGUUCCUCGGAUAGUAGCUUACGUAGCCAAUUGUGGAAUUUUCUUGCUAAAAAUCUUAAGAUAUAUUUUAAUCGGUAUACUCUUUUGAUUUGUAACGACUAUCAAUUAACAAUCAAUUCAGAACUGGCACGGACUUGGGGAAU